GCUAAAAAUUUCUCUAUUUGAUUUAGAGAGAGAGAGAUUUGGAUGUUAACAAUUCGCAGAAGCCACUGCGAUUUCGUUUCUAUAUCGUUAAUACAACCUUUUAAGAUCAUCCUCUAAUAGGAAUUCGUCGGGUCUCCAAUCUCUCGUGAGCUCCACGGCCGAAGAAUCCCUUAUUUGUUUUAUAUUUUUCAAAUUCAUUGAUAUUUCUUGCAAUGUGGGUGACCGAAUCGACAUUUCAUGCGUUGUUCCAUACAGCGAGAUGUCAAAUUAGCUGGUGAUGGGAAAAUGUGCGAGAAUUGAAAAAUUCUGCCUAUACACAUGGAUGUUUAGAUUUAUUGUUUUAGCGAAAAAGUGAAUUGGUGAGAUUUGAGGGAUUGAUUUGUGGCACUAUGGAAUGUUAGGGCGUUGUCGCAGAGGGAACUUGCUGCAGUUUUGAAAUUCUGGGUUGAUUUCUCAUGAUGUGGUAGAUUGAGGAAUGCUGUUGUUACGUGUUGGGCACAGGUGGAGUACUUCUGUUUCCUGGGCGAAGUUGGAGAUUGGCUUAUUACUCUACGCAUUACGCAAUACUGCAUGGGUUGGUGUCCAAAUGGGUGUUGGUUCCAUACCCUUGCAACAACUUGAAUGGCUGAGUCUCGGAAGAAUGGUCUUGCUGAUAAGGAUAUCGAGCAGGCCAUCACAGCACUAAAGAAAGGAUCAUAUUUACUGAAGUAAGGGCGUAGACGAAAGCCGAAAUUUUGCCCAUUUCAUCUCUCAAAUGAUGAAUCUUUGUUGAUAUGGUACUCUGGUAAAAAGGAGAAGCAUCUUAAACUCAGUCAAGUUUCAAAGAUUAUUCCGGGAUAGCGAACUGCAAUAUUUCAGCGCUAUCCUCGUCCUAAAAAGGAGUAUCAAUCAUUUUCUCUUAUAUGCAAUGACAGGUCCUUGAAUCUGGAUCCAGGAGAUGGGGAUAUCCCUUUUGAGGAUAUUUCGCAUAAUAGAUUAGGAAAGGCAUUUUCUGAUAUAUUAUCCCAAACUGCUGCAGAAAAUAUUUGUAAUCAAGGGGAAUCGGUUGCAUAUUCUGUUAUCUCAUUAUCAGCUGCUUCAUUAAACAACCCAAAUGGUCGGAAUUCUACAUCAGAGGCGGUUCGCGUCAGUUACUUUAGUGCUGUAAGCUCAUCUAGCCAUGGUUCUUGUCCCAAGGACUUUGAUGCCCUAGGUGAUGUUUUUAUUUGGGGAUAAAGUAUUGGAGAUGGAUUGCACAAAGUUGGGAUAUGCCUCGUUCAAAGAUGAAUGCAUUUCUGCCUCAGGCAUUGGAAUCAAUUGUCGUUCUCGACAUGCAUAAUAUUGCUUGUGGUGCAAGGCAUGCAGUGUUAGUUACUAGACAAGGGGAAAUCUUUAGUUAGGGGGAGGAAUCGGGAGGUAGGCUGGGGCAUGGCAUGGAAGCAGAUGUUUCCCAUCCAAAGCUCAUAGAUAGUCUCAGUGGAAUGAACAUUCAAUCAAUGGCAUGUGGAGAGUAUCACACCUGUGUCUAUUUAGUAUAAAUAACUAUAGGCUUUGUUUAGGAGGUUAUUACAUCAUUGUUAAUAUUAUCUAUUGGAGCUUUGUCAUCUCCUAACGGACUGGUUAUUGGUUGUGAUUGUGUUUAAGAUUCUUGCACAAUUUGCUGCCAAUAUUCAUCUCUUCUUUCAUAUUUGGUUCCUUUUCCAUCUCAUAUUAUUAGCCCCUAUCAUUUUGGUAUCGAAGCCGUUGAUCCAUCAUGGUUAACACCAGAUCUUCCAACCUGCAAAAUGACCCAGCAAACCCAAACACCGACCCACCAGCCAACCCAAAUUCUGAUUCCAUUGCCCAACAAUUAACUGCCAUCGCUUCCAAAUUAAACACCAUAGACUCUCUAGCAGCCGAAGUCGCAGCCCUCAAAUCCCAAUCUAGUGGGGCCCCUC